GCCGCCGUAGCUCAGCCUGGCAGAGCGCCGGACUCAUACGGCCCGGCUAAACACCCACAGGCCGAAGUCGCCUGGGGGCCUGGGAGAUCCGGAGGUCCCGGGUUCGAAUCCCGGCGGCGGCA
rnacentral:tRNA from 2 species